CCUACGGGAGGCAGCAGUGAGGAAUAUUGGUCAAUGGGCGUAAGCCUGAACCAGCCAAGUCGCGUGAGGGAUGAAGGUUCUAUGGAUCGUAAACCUCUUUUAUAAGGGAAUAAAGUGUGGGACGUGUCCUGUUUUGUAUGUACCUUAUGGAUAAGGCUCGGCUACCUCCGUGCCAGCAGCCGCGGUAAUACGGAGGAUCCGAGCGUUAUCCGGAUUUAUUGGGUUUAAAGGGUGCGUAGGCGGCCUUUUAAGUCAGCGGUGAAAGUCUGUGGCUCAACCAUAGAAUUGCCGUUGAAACUGGGAGGCUUGAGUAGGUUUGAGGCAGGCGGAAUGCGUGGUGUAGCGGUGAAAUGCUUAGAUAUCACGCAGAACCCCGAUUGCGAAGGCAGCCUGCCAAGCCAUGACUGACGCUGAUGCACGAAAGCGUGGGGAUCAAACAGGAUUAGAUACCCCAGUAGUC
rnacentral:rRNA from 1 species